rnacentral:rRNA from 1 species
AUUGAACGCUGGCGGCAUGCUUUACACAUGCAAGUCGAACGGCAGCGGGGUAGUGCUUGCACUACUGCCGGCGAGUGGCGAACGGGUGAGUAAUAUAUCGGAACGUACCGAGUAAUGGGGGAUAACCAAUCGAAAGAUUGGCUAAUACCGCAUACGUCCUGAGGGAGAAAGCGGGGGAUCGCAAGACCUCGCGUUAUUCGAGCGGCCGAUAACUGAUUAGCUAGUUGGUGGGGUAAAGGCCUACCAAGGCGACGAUCAGUAGCGGGUCUGAGAGGACGAUCCGCCACACUGGGACUGAGACACGGCCCAGACUCCUACGGGAGGCAGCAGUGGGGAAUUUUGGACAAUGGGGGCAACCCUGAUCCAGCCAUGCCGCGUGUAUGAAGAAGGCCUUCGGGUUGUAAAGUACUUUUGUUAGGGAAGAAAAGGGAAGUGCUAAUACCACUUUUUGCUGACGGUACCUAAAGAAUAAGCGCCGGCUAACUACGUG